AAGGGAGACCUAAUUCAGGUAGGAGACGAAAAAAAAGUAGUCGCUACCAAGAAUCAAUCCCAAAAGGUCGGAGCGAGGCGAAAUUGGCUUUCAAACUAGGUUCUGGGUUCACACAAGACCUGAAUCAGGAACAAGGGCUAUUAGCUCAGGUGGUUAGAGCGCACCCCUGAUAAGGGUGAGGUCCCUGGUUCGAGUCCAGGAUGGCCCACCUGCACAGGUGGCAAAAAGAAAGAAAAGAAGCGAGGAAUCAGCACCUUAUCUUAUUUAUAUAGUAAGAGAGAAUGCUGGCUCUGAGUUCAGAGUCCAGAGGAACCUUGAAAACUGCAUAGAGCUAGGUGAAAAAGCCAAAAAAGAAGACCGCAA
rnacentral:tRNA from 2 species